AGUGAGCGCUGGCGGUAGGCCUAACACAUGCAAGUCGAACGGCAGCACAGUAAGAGCUUGCUCUUACGGGUGGCGAGUGGCGGACGGGUGAGGAAUACAUCGGAAUCUACUUUUUCGUGGGUGAUAACGUAGGGAAACUUACGCUAAUACCGCAUACGACCUACGGGUGAAAGCAGGGGAUCUUCGGACCUUGCGCGAUUGAAUGAGCCGAUGUCGGAUUAGCUAGUUGGCGGGGUAAAGGCCCACCAAGGCGACGAUCCGUAGCUGGUCUGAGAGGAUGAUCAGCCACACUGGAACUGAGACACGGUCCAGACUCCUACGGGAGGCAGCAGUGGGGAAUAUUGGACAAUGGGCGCAAGCCUGAUCCAGCCAUACCGCGUGGGUGAAGAAGGCCUUCGGGUUGUAAAGCCCUUUUGUUGGGAAAGAAAAGCAGCAGGUUAAUACCCCGCUGUUCUGACGGUACCCAAAGAAUAAGCACCGGCUAACUUCGUG
rnacentral:rRNA from 1 species